UGUAAAUAUAACCGUGACCAUUACGUACCUCUUUUCAGUGACAGCACAUGCUUAAAGACCAGCGGACAUUAAUGAUCCAAAUCUUUUCUCGGGUUAUAUUGUUCAGCCAAUAUUCACGUUCACGAUAAAUUCUCGUUAAUUUAAUUAUUUUUAUAAAAUGAUAAAAUCCAAAAAUCCUUAAAUAUCAAUAUCGUCGUUAGUGAAGUGCAAAGAUCCAAUUUAUAUUACAAAUAUAUAAUUAAAAAUCGCACAAAUAUAAAAAACUCUUCAAUAUGAGAAGUUUACAGAAAUUCACAAACUAUAGUAGAUGAUAAUUUGAUCGGACUAAGCGGACAUUUAUUCUACAUUAUUAUUAAAUGUUUGAAUAAGUCUUUAAAAAAGAAAAAGAAAAGAAAAACCUCAUUCUCCAAAAACAGAUUGUACGAAUUUCUCUAAGAAUAGAACAGUGAAUAAUCUGAGAACUUAAAGUACCAUUACUAAUAUAUAACGCAUAGGGAUAACAAGGAAAAGAAACGAGAAGAACGACGUUGAUAGAUCAAGUUAAUGAAUUCAAGUGAAGCAACGAACGGAAAUGAAAAGUAAUCCUGAAUUCGUUGCAAAGUGACGAUGUAAAAGUAUGCGUAAGUGCUCGAAUUAAUAUUUCAAUGACUCGAAUGAAAGAAUAGAAAUACGCGCGUAAUAAUGCACGCGGCAAAGAGAAAGAAAGAGAAAAGAAAGAAAGACAAAGGAAGAUGUCUCAUCGGAUAUUCGUUUGAAUUAGUUCUAUUUAUAUCGAAGCAAAGAAUUGAAAAUAUAGAACUAGCUUAUGCGUAUAAUAAGAAAAAAAUUCUAAAUAAUCAUUAAAGUAUAUAUAUAUAUAUAUAUAUAUAUAUAUACAUAUAAAAACAACCAAGAUGAUUUUGAGAUCGGUCAAAUUUCCAAUAAGUAAAAGAAAUAUAAUAGACGAAUUUGUUGAAAGACGAAUUAAGUCGAAUAUAUCCAACUAGAAAGCUUUUUUUAUAGGAAUGAUCGUUAUCAUCUAAUGUCCUCGUACAAAGGAUUCCUAAUACAAAUAUUCAUAUAUAUAUAUAUAUACGAAUAAUAUACACAUAUAUAUAAAUAUUUCACAUAUAUAUGUGUCUACGUUUCUUAACAGAGAUUAAAUAACAAAGAGCUUUAGUAAACAUGGUCGUAAACUCAUCUUAUUUCAAAUAGAUUAUAAACACGCACGAUCAAAAACAAAGUCAAAGUUCAUUUCGCGAAGAACGUACUCGUGCUUUAUUAUUCUAAACGUUCCUUUGAUUUCCAUACGUAAAUAAUUUGAAACCGGAACGAAACAUUAGAAAUAAAUUUAGUAGAAUUUUGAAUUCUUUUAAAUGAAAUUCAUUCGGUCGACUUGAUCGGCACACUUUUCGUGCCAAGGUUCGAAAAGAAAGAUGGAGACAAAAAAAUCUAAAAGAGUAGAAAGUACACACGCUGUUUCUUCGUAAUGUAUGCUACUCCUCUUAAAAAGAAAAAAUCUUUGUGAUGUAGAAAUUUUUGAUCGAAGGAUCUAUUGUUAAAAUCUUUCUCUCUCUCUCUUUCUUUUGUUCUCCUUCUUUUCCUUCUUCAUUGACACGAAAAUACAUACACAAUUGCGGAACAACCAAAGGUCAUGAAAUAUUCCUUUAAUAAGCAUAACAAUAGUUUAAGCUUCUGCAUUUGAAAUACGCAGGUCUUCACUGACGUUUCCUCUUUCGCGUUCUCUUCUCUUUACUUUGUUUUGAAGAUUGAAACUUGACAAACUAAUUUCUAAAAUAUAAUACAAAAUUUUUUUACAAAUUGAAUUUACUUUACAAAUUGCUGGCUCCAUUUUCUAACAUAUUUAGAAUCCAUUUGUAGGGCUAACAAUCUUUAAGAAUUCGUAGGCUCAUUCAUAUUCAUUUUUAAUCAUUUCUGUUCCCAACUUCCACAUCCUCUAUAAACUUUUCACGAAUUGUUUCUACUCUGAGUAAAAAAAAAUAGGUUAAAAACGAAUUGUAUUACUUUAUAAAUACUUAACAAUACAUAGACCUUUCCUUUCUUCUAACCAUACCAUAUUUACUAUACUUUACUGCUUACUUAUUUUUUCCUUUCUAUUCUUCUGUAUAUUUUCUCCAUUAAUUUUACGUUUCGUUUUUUAGCCAUCCUUAAGAUAAGUUUCGUUCGAUGGAUUUUUUUCAUGACCUUUGCUAUGUAAGAAAAAAUAUUAUUAAAAUAUAUAUUAAAGAAUUUCAUAUAAAAAAUUUCAUAAUAAUGAUUUAAUAUAUAAUUUAAUAUAACUUGGUUCGAAUGAUUUACAUUCACAAAAGAAAAAAUCCAAAUAGAAAUAAUAUCAAAAGAAUAAAAUUAACAAAUAUUCUCUCCAAUUAAAAAAUUUUAAACAGGAUUAUUACAAUAAGAGUGAUAAAUCAUCUUUUAAUCCUAAAAAUCUUUAUGGGGAUUCAGUUUUUCUUAUCUAUUUGUCCGUAUAAAUAACCACUGGUAUUAAAGAAACACCUGGGAUUAAGAAAACCGAUGGUGAAAAGACGAGAAUACUAGCUACGAUAAAUCGAAAGAAAGUCAUUUCUUUGAUGUAUUUCUGACAGAAAAGAACAUGAAAAUUAAACAGUACAGAAAAUUAUUAAUUUAGAAAUUAUUCGAGCAAUCCACAGACAUAACACAAUAUCGUCAUGAUAAAUAAUAUCAUUAGCAUAAUAUCGCAAUAAAAUGCUUGGUGGGAGAGACGGAAUUAGUACAAAAUAUUAAAAACUCAAGCACAUUAAGUUAUAUAAAUAAAAAAUAUGCUCCCUAGUUCGGUGAAAAGUAAAAAAAAAAAAUAAAUAAAAGAAAUAAUAAUUUAUUGUCAGAACAUAUUAUAAAAAGUCUCAAUUUUGUAUGCCAGUUUUUACAACUUUAAAUUUAAAUUUAUUUCAAACGAUUAAUAAUAACAUACAUUGUCUUUAUGAUAGUUCCUAUUCUAUUAACUAUCAUUCUACAUAUUAGCUGAAAUCACUCGUGACUAGACAGAAUAACCGUCAAGUUAUUUCCACGAAUUCGAGAGGCAUAACAAAUAUAAUGUUAAAAAACAUGGAAAAAUUAUUUCUUUAUAAAAAUUUGUUUUCUUUUUUCAUUUUCAUAAUUUUAUAAUUCAAUAUAUACAGUAUACUAUUUAAACGAAUAUAAUAGUACGUGUAAUAAUAAUUUGAGGGAGUAAAGUAUUUUAAGAAAGUACUUUAAUUUAUCUAUAUGUUUAAAAGGAAUACACACUAUCGGUGGAUUUAUAUUUACAUUCAUUAGAAAUGUAUUUAUAUAACAUUGCCAGACUUUAUAUUACAAUAUGAACAAAUAAUGUAUCACCAUUUAACUUAAUCGCAAAUUUCGGAAACGACCACCUGAAAUAUGAUGGACAUUGAUAUUGAGGACGAUCUUUAUAUUAGUUUUUUAAAUGAUCCUUCGAUUGAGGAUCUUCUGAUUCUCCACAUGAUGAACUUCCAAGCGGUAUACCAAAAUACGGAGGGCAUUUUACUCGACUUUAUAAAAUUCAUUUAGAAAAUUUUGAUGAAAUUUCUUCAUCGAAUGUAUCUUCUAAGAAAAUUUAUCAACGGUCAAAUUUAUAUGCUUUGCCUAUUCUUCAGCUAGUACAAUUUAUUCUCGUUAGAGAAGGAGAAUUUUUUUCGGUCGGAUGAUCAUUCUAUCCUUCCUAAGGAUGAUGAGAACCAGCAAUUACUUAGAUUCAACAGAACCAACGAAUUUCUAUUAGGAAAUGUUCUAUAUGGAAAAUCAGUAAGAUAGGAAAAUCAGUAGAGAUAGGAGUAUUGUAUACUAUCUUCUAUAAUAUUUAAACCGUUAAUCAAUUGACUGCAAUAUUAACCAUGACAAGCGCCAUAUUAAUAAGUGAAGGGUGGAUAGCCAUUAUUAAAACGAAAAUAAGAUUCUUCGAAGAGAAUCAUCGAGAAGGAAUCGUUGUUUUCUGCAUUGCGUUUAUCGAUUCGACGUUCGACGUUCUAAUUUCUUCUUGAUUAUUCUCUACUGUCGAUCUUUUUCUUGAUCCACGUUUUGUGCAAUACUGUGAUCAACAAUAGAUUUGUUGAAUUCUGGACAUUCGAUAUCAUCAACGUUAAGUGAGUAUAUUUUCUUAAAUGUAAUUUGAGUGAUAAUAUUGCAUUAUAUAGUAAGUGAGCUAAUUUAUACUACUGAAUAUUUAGUGAAAUUUUGAAUGGCUAUUUAACAUUGUAUUGUUUAUGUGAAAAUAAAAACAUUCGUCAUAUUAGAAUGGUUUAUAACCAAAAUGAUUUGUUAAAUAAUAUUCAAAAUGGUGCUAAAUAAUCUAUUACGAAUUUAUAAUUGGGAUCCGUAAGUGGUUUGUCAUCUUUUAUAUCGACGAUGUUACAAAAUUCUUUAUAGUUACAGCAAUGAGUUUGGCAUUCUUUGUAUCGAAAUGUUUUUCCUCUUCGCUGGGAAUUUAUAUCGAUGGUAGAAAUUUAUGGUAAUUGGCAGUAAUUGGCGAUUUAUUUUCCUGAACUAUGUAAAGUAGUAUCGUUUCGUUCUUAAGAUAUUUCUGGAAUUCUUUUAAUGUCUCUGUCUACGCCAAUACUUUGAUUAUCGAAAUUGUUGUUAUAAUAAUUAAAUAUGCUCGAGAAUACUUGCUCUACAAAAACAAUAACCAGUUUAAAAUCUAUUAUUUAUCUAUUAAACUAUCGCGUAAUGAAAACAUGCAUUAAAUAAGUAAAAUUUGUAUACUAAUAUAAUAUUAUUUUUAUUAUUUGUCUAAUAAUUAAAAUAGUUAAUUUCGUUAAUAUUAGUUUAUAUAGGUUUUCUCAUAAAACAAUGUCUUUCAACGUACCCGAUUAAAUUCACUAUGGCACAAAUUAGAUAUGGAAAUUUUAUGCAUUAUUCCAGAUAGACAUGGAUUUAUGACAGUAAUCAUCAUUCCUUUUAAGAUCGUCAAUUGGUUUAAAUUCGGUGAAUAAUAUCGAUAAGUUAUAUUCAUUAAAAAGAAUUAUUCAUUGUGCGUUAUAAAGAGUAUUGUUAGAGUUUAUAUUAUUUGGAUUCUCUUGGGAGAGGUUUCAAGUUAAUGAACUGCAAUUUUCUUCUGAGCAAGUUCCGAUUAUGAAAAAUGUAGAAUUACUAGCAUAUCCGUCCAGCACUAUUCCAGAUUCGUCAUACUCACCUCCUAAUAAUACUUUUCUCUGCAGUGAAAAAAGAAUCAGUUUUUUUUUUCGAUGAUCGAGAAUAUUCCAUUGAAGAUAGAAAAGUAAUAUUUUGCAGAAGGGAAAAUGUUACAAACGAUAGAACACGAGGAAAAACGAAACAACGGGAGGGGUAUUUACUUAUGUAUGUGCGAAAAUACGUAUACGUGAAAUCUUACCAGCACGGAACAUUAAAUUAAGAGAAAAAAAAAUUAGAAAAUGGGAGGUUCUGACGAUUAUUCACUACAAUUGUAUCUAUAUUAAUCCCAACGGUUAUGGUUGAAGAAUUUGGUUUAAAUAUAUACAACUUCUUUUUCUUAUUCAAACGAAUAGAUUAGCGUCUCGUGGAAAUGAACUAAGUAAUCAUUUGAUAACUUCAAAUUGAUAUUUUGAAUAAUAAUAUCAACAGUAAAUUAAUCGAUAAAUUUUUGGGGAUACUUCAUAAGGAAAUAUAAUAUAUAAUAUAUAAUCAUUAAUGUAAUGCGUUAUGAUCUGAUUAUUGCGUUACAUAAGUCUAUUGCUAUGAUUUGUCUCUGAUAAAAAUGACAAUUUUUGUCAUUGUCAAAAAAAUUGUAUGGGUUAAGGAAGAAAAUGCUUAACAAAUCGAUUUAUUUCGACAAUCGAUGAUCUUCCAAUAAUUAUGAUUCUUUUUAUAUCAUUAUCGUUUACUUUUUACUUUCUUAUAUCAUAAAAAGUAUGUCGUGUUAAAUUAAAUUAUUCAUUUUAUUAAAUUUAAAUUAUUUCAUUUCAUUGAAGAUAUUAAAUUCAGAAUAAUUUUACAAUAUAAUUAAUAGUUGCUAGUAAUAAUUUCUAUUAAUACUGGCACUGUAUUCUUGUUUCAAUCAAUAAUCGAUAAAAUAUAAAUAAAAAUAAUUUCGUAUAGAAAAAAAAAAUAUUAUAUCAAAAACAUAAUUUGUCCGAUAAUCAUCAUCCAACAAAAUUCACAAAAUUGAAAAACGUAAAUUGAAAAACGAAGCUUCAGUCAUUUUUAUUAUAUCCAUUAUUUCUACGCUCUAUCAAUCUAUACAAAAUUAUUAAUAUAUUAUUCACCUUUUUCGAAACAACAAAACAUGCACACUUCUAAAAAUAUAUAUUUCUGUAUAAUAUUUACAUGUUCUUUUCAUCAUAAACUCCUUUCAAAAAGGUAUA